ACACAUGCAAGUCGAACGGCAGCACGGGAGCUUGCUCCUGGUGGCGAGUGGCGAACGGGUGAGUAAUGCGUCGGAACGUACCGAGUGAUGGGGGAUAACGCAGCGAAAGUUGUGCUAAUACCGCAUACGCCCUGAGGGGGAAAGUGGGGGAUCGCAAGACCUCACGUUAUUCGAGCGGCCGACGUCUGAUUAGCUAGUUGGUGGGGUAAUGGCUCACCAAGGCGACGAUCAGUAGCGGGUCUGAGAGGAUGAUCCGCCACACUGGGACUGAGACACGGCCCAGACUCCUACGGGAGGCAGCAGUGGGGAAUUUUGGACAAUGGGGGCAACCCUGAUCCAGCCAUUCCGCGUGAGUGAAUAAGGCCUUCGGGUUGUAAAGCUCUUUCAGCAGGAACGAAACGGUAGGGGCUAAUACCCUCUGCUAAUGACGGUACCUGCAGAAGAAGCACCGGCUAACUACGUGCCAGCAGCCGCGGUAAUACGUAGGGUGCGAGCGUUAAUCGGAAUUACUGGGCGUAAAGCGUGCGCAGGCGGAUUGUUAAGCAAGACGUGAAAUCCCCGGGCUUAACCUGGGAAUGGCGUUUUGAACUGGCAGUCUAGAGUGUGUCAGAGGGGGGUGGAAUUCCACGUGUAGCAGUGAAAUGCGUAGAGAUGUGGAGGAACACCAAUGGCGAAGGCAGCCCCCUGGGAUAACACUGACGCUCAUGUACGAAAGCGUGGGUAGCAAACAGGAUUAGAUACCCUGGUAGUCCACGCCCUAAACGAUGUCAACUGGUUGUUGGGGGAGUGAAAUCCCUUAGUAACGAAGCUAACGCGUGAAGUUGACCGCCUGGGGAGUACGGUCGCAAGAUUAAAACUCAAAGGAAUUGACGGGGACCCGCACAAGCGGUGGAUGAUGUGGAUUAAUUCGAUGCAACGCGAAAAACCUUACCUACCCUUGACAUGUCCAGAAUCCUGCAGAGAUGCGGGAGUGCCCGAAAGGGAAUUGGAACACAGGUGCUGCAUGGCUGUCGUCAGCUCGUGUCGUGAGGUGUUGGGUUAAGUCCCGCAACGAGCGCAACCCUUAUCAUUAGUUGCUACGCAAGGGCACUCUAAUGAGACUGCCGGUGACAAACCGGAGGAAGGUGGGGAUGACGUCAAGUCCUCAUGGCCCUUAUGGGUAGGGCUUCACACGUCAUACAAUGGUCGGUACAGAGGGUUGCCAAGCCGCGAGGUGGAGCCAAUCCCAGAAAGCCGAUCGUAGUCCGGAUUGUUCUCUGCAACUCGAGAGCAUGAAGUCGGAAUCGCUAGUAAUCGCGGAUCAGCAUGUCGCGGUGAAUACGUUCCCGGGUCUUGUACACACCGCCCGUCACACCAUGGGAGUGGAAUCUGCCAGAAGUAGGUAGCCUAACCGCAAGGAGGGCGCUUACCACGGUGGGUUUCAUGACUGGGGUG
rnacentral:rRNA from 1 species